UACAGAGGUCCCAAGCGUUGUUCGGAUUCACUGGGCGUAAAGGGUGCGUAGGCGGUCGGGUAAGUCUGAUGUGAAAUCUCACAGCUUAACUGUGAAACUGCAUUGGAUACUAUCCGGCUCGAGGAAUGGAGGGGAGACUGGAAUACUUGGUGUAGCAGUGAAAUGCGUAGAUAUCAAGUGGAACACCAGUGGCGAAGGCGGGUCUCUGGGCCGAUACUGACGCUGAGGAGCGAAAGCGUGGGGGAGCGAACAGG
rnacentral:rRNA from 1 species